AUGGACAACGAAGCACCCGAGAAAGUGCCAGCACUAGCUUCUAGCAGGGAGGGCAACAAAAAGCAAGUGACUAGCAGCAGAAAAGAGGAGCAAUCAGAAACCAAGACUGUCAUUCCUCCUAGAGCAAAAAGACAAAAGAGAAAGGACAAAACUCAACUCAUCAGCGAUGGUGCUACCUUGCAGCAGCAGCGGCCAAGUCCUCUAAUAAUACUCCCGCCAGCAGUUCCACGCAUCGACAAUGAACUAAAUAAAGCCAAAAGAAAAACAAAAGACAACGGUUGGAAGAAGACAAGGAUGAUGCCGGCAAAGAGUCAAAGCGUGAUGCUGCCGACGACGACGAUGGCACAAAACAUGAUGAUGAUGUCAUUCGUACAGAGGGCGAUGGCGCCGCAGAGGAGACAUCCUCUAUAA
rnacentral:rRNA from 1 species